rnacentral:rRNA from 1 species
GACGAACGCUGGCGGCGUGCUUAACACAUGCAAGUCGAACGGAAAGGCCCUGCUUUUGUGGGGUGCUCGAGUUGCGAACGGGUGAGUAACACGUGAGUAACCUGCCCUUGACUUUGGGAUAACUUCAGGAAACUUGGGCUAAUACCGGAUAGGAGCUCCUGCUGCAUGGUGGGGGUUGGAAAGUUUCGGCGGUUGGGGAUGGACUCGCGGCUUAUCAGCUUGUUGGUGGGGUAGUGGCUUACCAAGGCUUUGACGGGUAGCCGGCCUGAGAGGGUGACCGGCCAAAUUGGGACUGAGAUAAGGCCCAGACUACUACGGGAGGCAGCAGUGGGGAAGAGUGCACAAUGGGCGGAAGCCUGAUGCAGCAACGCCGCGUGCGGGAUGACGGCAUGCGGGUUGGAAACCGAAGUCGCCUGUGACGAAGCGUGAGUGACGGUAAUGGGUAAAGAAGCACCGGCUAACUACGUG